rnacentral:lncRNA from 1 species
CGAGGAAGCGCUGCGUUCGCCUCGCCAAGUCCAUACACACCUAUAUUCCAGUGCCCCACCCCAGAGCAUGCAGCUCUCUCUCCACGCCUCUCGAGAGUCGUGCCCCCCAACACGUCCGUCACACCCGGCCAUCUUCCCAAAGCCGAGCCCCGCAGCCUUACCCCGACCCCCGAGAGCACACCGCUAGAAAUAAGCCCUCCGCCUCCAGACGACUGAGUGACUCCGAUCGGCGGCAGCCCGUUCGCGACACUUUCGCGUUGCCGUAAAGGGAUACAGGGUCGGAACGAGCGGCGGCGCGGGCGCGCUCCUCGGGGCGGUAAGCGCGCCCCAGGCCUGGCCCGGCUGCUCGGGAGCGCGCCCUAGGGUCCCGCCCUGUCUCGGUCCCGCCUGCCGGCUUCGAACGCUGCGGCUGUCCCUGGCUGGGUCAUCCACACAAGAUUUCAGGACUUACAAAGGUGCAGGUUUGUGCAGAUUUGAAGACCAGUAUCUUACGAGCUUGUAAAACAGCAACAAGUCAGAUGAUCAGAGUAAAUGACGAGUACAAGUCAAAAGUGGCUGAGAUUUCAUUAUUUGGAAGAAGCUGAGCACAUUGGAGGAUUAUGCAGGUAAGAGUUGUUCUUACAGGGGUGCCUGGGUGGCUCAGUGGGUUAAGCCUCUGCCUUUGGCUCAGGUCAUGCAUGAUCCCAGGGUCCUAG